CUUCUCCUUGCUGAGCCAGUAACUCAGAUUCCAGUUGUGGCAGUUUCCCCACCCCAGGCAGCAAACAACACCCAGCCAGCAGGUCCAUGCAAUCCAGGCGGGACCCUGCAAGCCACGAGAGAGGCACAUUUACGUGUGGACCUGCUGACGCUACAAAACGCUGCUGGCAGGGCUGGGGCUGACGUGUGACCCUGGGGAAGGUGGGACUGACCCGUGAGCUCCAUCCACACCCGUGCCCUGCUGCCCUGCGAGCCUGCAGCUGCUCCCCAGCAGCAAGCAUCGCCCCCACCAGUCCUUCCCAACAUCUCCCAGCCCACGUCCCUGCAGGACAGCGGGAGCAGUCACACUCCACAGCACGGAGGGGAGCGGGAGGUGAGGUGCAUACGUGCCUGGGCACAGAUAAGCUGCAACAUCCUCACGCAGCCUGCAACACAUCCCCACUCACACCCUCUGACUCUAACCCGUCAUUUCAGUUGGUCCUAGCAGAUCUUUUUCCAAAACUUGUUGAAGAGGCCGAACCCCAAGUUCAAGCACUCAGCUGCAGCAGCGAACUCAGCAGGGAAUUUUAGGACGAAGCCAUUAUCUGCACUGUAGUAUUUGAAACGCAAUUGGGUUUGACCUACAGCCCCUAGGUGGAAAGAUGUCAAUGCCUAUCCAGCCGCAAGGGAGAAAAACAUAGACCAGAUCAUUCUAGUCUUAUCAGACAAAUAUCCAUUAUUCACUGUUGGUCAAAAAAAAAACCAAACCAAAACCAAAGAAAGAAGAAGAAAAACCACACUGUCACAGCUGCAAAGGCCGUGAUACGUCUCUGCACCGAGCAGAUACAGCUUGGCUCAGCUGCAGGAGAUUCAAAGGCACUAGAAAAACUUUCAGAGGGGGAAGGAUUCUGAAAAGGCCAUGCACAUCCAUGAAGACUUCUACUUUAUUGACAGGACCUGCAACCAGACCUUCCGAAGGCUGUCAGAGGCAGAACAUGAUGGGAAAGCAGGCAACAACGUACUAGCCAGCACAGCUAACCUGUCUCAGCAGCUCCACGGUAUUUGUCAAGACCAGAGGGAGGGAGCUCAAGCCUUUCACCAGCGGGAACCACUCCAGACAGUAACCGCAGCUCUUAAAUCCAGCCCUUUCAACCACCCAUUUUACGCAGAACUGAAAGACACACAUGCAUAAAGAGUUUCACAGUCUUUGUAUGGCUAUGAAUGAGUAGGUGCCUGCGAAGUGGGCUGAAGUACCAUCUGGAGGAUUGUACUUUUACUGCUGGAGAGUGCCAGGAGCUAGCAGUGCGUGUGAAGUUGGCAAAGAGCAAUUGUUUAUUCUCCUACCUAAAGAUCCAUCUCAAAAUGGUUUAAAACACCAACACGAUGUAACUGUGGCAAGCUGCAGUGCGUGGCACGACCAACUCAAGGGGCGCGCUUUUUGCACUCUGACAGGGUGGUAAUACAACAGCCUGUGCUAAACUGGAUCCUACCCUCCCUGUUUCUGCAAGAUCUUCCUUCUCCAAGUGUUGGAGCUCACGCAGCUGCGUGGUGAGCCACUGAGCGGGACCAGGCAGAGGUUAAGCCUCCAGCGAAGAAGGGCCAGGUACUGGCCCAGAUGGAGUCCCUGAACUGGGUCAGCUUGCAACCACAUGGAUGCCAUCGCCAGCACGAGGGAUGGCGUGGGGCCGCGCUUUUUCCAUUUCCAGCCAUUUCCAGCUUAGGUCUGGUAAAGACACUGUGAACCCACACCCUUGCUUGUUUGUGCCAAGUGCCAAACAUCAUGAACCUAAGGCUAGAAGCUGAAACAAGCCCCUCUGCCCACUCGGCUCUUGCAGCACACCUUGGCCUCGCCAGCCCUUUGGAAAGCUCCACACUCCUGGCAGAGCUGGGUUACAGCACGUACCUAUCCACACACGCUGAUGCCUGUUACAAAGCAUUCACGUACAAAGUGUUCACAUAUUGUGUUUUGAUUUGCUACCAGAGUGGGAAAGCAUCACGUACUCAUUAUUGUCUGCAUGUCAAAUAAGGGCUGUACCAUCAUUUUGCAAAUAUGUGCUUCAUCAACAGAAGCAGUUUCUCAAUCGUCCUUCUGCUGAACACAUUGCACGUGCUUUCAUUUAUCAUCAGGUCUAGUUUCAGAGAGCAGAAAAAUCAGUUUUAUCCUCUUUUUCUCUAUUAAUAACUAAAUUCCGCUCUAACACUGAAGGGCAAGGACCUUUGCUACUUCAUUCCUGUAAUAUAGACCUCUUGUAAUGCUACUUCUCACUAAUUCUUUCUGUUAUCUUCCUUUUCUGGACAACCUUAUUGCCCUCUUUCAGAUCAUCAAAACCCUCACCUGGAUGCCAGGAUAUUCACAACAUCUGGGUUUGGGUUUUUCUUUUCCCCCCCUCCAAGACCUAUUUUGCAGCCCAUCUCUGUAACUCCUGCCUUUGAAUUUAUGCCCCCUGCUGAACUACCUUCGCGAGAGCUCAGAUCUGCUUCUGCGUUGGAGUGAGAAAGACGUAGGUGUCAGCGCAAAGUACUCGAAGUAGGAAAAAAGUUAAAAAAAUUACUUCCUGACACCCACGAGGCAGAGCAACCCCGGAGAGCUAAAGGUUAAGAAAUUCUCUGGAGACUGAGGGUUCGGGCAACUCACCGCUACCUUGUGGUAAGUCAGGCAGCCUUCGCCAUCAUCACUGAAAAUCCUCCUUUCUCUCCCAUCCCUUCUGCCAACCUCCCGGGCAGCAGCCCUCCAGCCUUCCUACAGGCACAUCUGGCUGCCUUUGGGGGAGGUGAGUAACUAAGCUAACCUGGUAGCGUAACUAAGCUAACCUGGUAGCCUGUGUUCAAGGCUCACCACAUCCUUAGGCAAGAAAUGUUUUUUGGUUUUUUUUUCUGUCAGCCAGGUGUUUCAAAUACUGUUAACUGAAACUAGGCUAACAUUCAAUGCGACUAAACAUCUUCAUGGCACCCUAAAGGUAUGAGCAGCUACAGGGGGUUUAAAGGACCCCUUACAAGAGGUGGAAAGGGAACUAAAGAAAAGCUGCCCACCCCGCUUGUGCUAAAACCCAGCCCGAGGUGGCCGCCCCAUUUGGCAGCCAACUCGCCACGGGUUUUCUUGAGGCUACAAGUUCUGUUUUCCUAAACGCCCUAAAGCUGCGCUGCCCGGAGCCCCCCUGCCAGGCCAGCCACGCCAGCCUCCCAUUAGAUCCGGAAAGGAGGCUUCGAUGGAUUCAGAGGACUGAUACACCCCUUCUGCCUGAAAAUUUGCUUGCAAGGCAGGGUUUUGGCUGCCGUUUGCCCCAGCUGCACCGCUGUUUAACCGGACCUUGCUCAGGCGCCCUGUCCUGCACUGCCCCCUGGGCUGGUACCGCCACCGCAGGGCCAGCAGCAAGGUUAGCGUCCAAACCGAGUGAACACUACUUCUCUGGAUGGAUUUGUCGUUUAUUUAUUUUUUUAAAUAUAGGCUUGUUUCCAAAACAGGUUCCCCAGGUAGCCCAGGAAAUUGCUGAGCUACGCAAGGGGUACAGGAGCAGAGGAACCAGGGAGGAGCUCCUGUAACAGCACUGUCCUCCAAAAAGCCUUCUUCAGACUAGAAGGGGGUAGAGCCUUGAUGCUGCUUAGAUGAAGGCUGGUGUCAUCUGCUGAGAGAGGCAAAUACCACUUAGGUGGAGCAGGUGUCACCACAUAGGUUUAAGCCAAAGAGUAGCUGAGGGGAUAAUGGUCUAUGGAUACCCUGUUCCUUCAGUGAUGCAGGCUGUGGUUUCCGCAGCGGCUUAAACCAGAGGUAGCGCAAUCUCGUUUCCCUCUCCUCUCCUUUACACCAGCCAAUUUGAUCCUACAGUGAACUGAUUACGGUCACUAAUCCAACAGAGAACUGAAUCAAACAAAAUAAUACUGCCCAUUAGUUUAGUAAACAGAACAGCUCAUUACAAAUGUAAAUGAACACCAGAGCCGGCUGAAGGAAGAGGGCAGACAUAGCUGGGAUCAAAACAGGGAGAGCAACAUACCUGCAAACAUCACAGCAACAUCAGAUGUCACUAAAAGGCAUCCCUAUUCCUGAUCAUGCCAGUCUAUGCACAUCUAUGCCCCGUUUCUCCAUCCACAGUUACUGUUUGACUCUAACUUGAGAGAAGGUUGCUCUCUAGUCUAAGGAAUCCCAUCAAGGAUUAAAUACCUUACUUUGACAGCUCUCUAGGUCAGCGGGUGUCGCACGAGGCAGUUUUCUGGUGAACAGUGAAUGCUGUACCACUUAUCUAAAGGAUGACGCACCUAUGUUUAGUUAAAGUCGGGAGAUGUCCAAGGACCCUUAUUGCCACAUGACGGAUGCACAGACUGCUAAGUCCUUGGGUUGGUUAUCUUUAAAAGGGACAUUUUGUCUUAGAUUCCUGUUGUACAUGCAACGUGGCGAAGAUGGAGACUUUAAACAUGACCGCUAAGGAAUAGAGUCUGCAUAGAGACAACUCCUCAAGGACAUUGUCCAGGCACAAGAUAUGUUAAUGUUGUUAACUUGAAGAUAUACUAGGUCCUUAAAUGGAAUGUGCUAAUUGUCCAGGUGUAACGUACAUUGAUGAGUUCUCGGAAAGUUAAUGAAUAGAUGUGAGUGACUUCUAUAAACAGGGGGCUGAAAGGUUCCCUCGGUGUGCAUGAUUUUGGUGGAGCGAUCCCCCAUGCAGCCAGCGCUGCCGAAUAAAGAUAACCUCCGCUCACUCGAAUAUUGGUAACUGGUUCUUCAAAUCACUGGGAGAGAAAACAAACGGAUAUAAUUUACUGGCCAAACCCCCCCCAGUUUGGCUUGUGUGUCCUGAGCUGUACCGCACACUACAUCGCUAAAGCCUUAGCUAGGAAACUUAUUGCAGAGGCUCGUGGUUCAAUGUAUAUAUCAGCUAAGCCACAACAAAUCGCCCAGCAAGGCCACACGGUGCAUCUGCAGCGCCAGGAAGCUCAACGGUAGCUAACAGGUUCUAAAAAGGACCAGGAUUAAAAUAUUAACCCCCCAAAAUGGAAGCACACACUUCUUUGUAGAUGACUCAAUUCUGCCAAAUGCAGUUAGCUGGAUUUUGACUUAUUGGUAUGCUGGGUCGGUUUAUUCACUGGUUUACAAAUACAACAUUACAGUUCCCAUAUUGAACAUUGCAGCACAGAAUUUUCAUAGAUGAUGGUGAUACAGGUAAGACUACUAUGAAAGAAAAGAUUAUCAUGCUAAGAAAAGCUUGGUGAGCAGCAGCAAAUACUGCUGAUAGCUGAGGUUUCUGACGGUCAUUUUGGAAAUGCAAGUUAAUCUGUACAAACAUAGUACAAGGGAUAGGAGAAAGUGGGCUUUUUUUUGAGGCUUUGUUUUGUUUUCUGGUUUUGGUGUUGUUUUUUUUUUUAAAGAGUGAGAAUCAUGAUAAAUAAACAAAAUCCAGAUACUAUUUUAAGCAGCUUUGCAUAAGCACGUGAUGAUCCUUGGUUUAGUUCGGGCAUGAGAGGUUUAAGUUCACUGUUCCAACGGAUCCUGAACUACAGGAUGUCUUGCAUUGUUUCCAAAUAGUUUGGGUUACAGCAAAACAAGAGAACAGAACAAAUUGUUACUAGCAAGAACUGGCUGGAACAAACUACGGCAAUUUAAGAACUUCCCAUCUGAGGAAAAAAAAAAUAUCACUGAUUACAAAAUAAAAAGUAAUGGCCCUAUUGUUACUACCCUGUUAGUGCAGGGAUUUUCUACAAGAAAACAUGAAUAUGCUUCACAAAACUUGACUUCAUGAGCCAACAAGGAUGCUGUUUUGCAGAACUUAAAAUAGCAGGCUUUGCUUCUGUGGUGGGGGGCGGGGGGGGGGGGGAAGGGAAAGUUAUUUUAUUUUUUCUUCAGAUGCCAGCAAGCUACAGAUCUAGUGCUUUCAUCUUACUUCCAACAAUGUGCACUGAACCAAAAUAUUUCUUAUUUGGUAUACUCGGACCUUGGCUUAAUGAGAAACAGGACAGAGAAGGUAGAGAAGAAUGCAGCAUAUUAUUCCAGAUCAUUAAAAUUGUUUUCAUGUAUCUACACAUACUUGCUCCACCCGAACUUUCCGUUUACCUCUCUGUGCUUAGACUGUCGCCACUGGAGGCUUUACAGUGAAAAGGUAUGGUCUAACACCGUCCACUGAUUCUGUACCAGACGUUGCACUUAGGAAGCACCAGAAAUCCUAGAGAGGCUCAUUACUGCCAGCCUUAACAUGCUGUGUUUCCCUGCUGAAUACACAGACAGCUCCUGAUGACCCACAGUUUAGGUUAAGAUUCCCCAUUAGGCUAUUUCUUUCUAAAAUACGUGCCGUUACUGCUUCUGGGGAUCCCUUGUGGGGUUGCUCCUAAGAAAUCCAGAUGCUUUUCACGGAGUCCAAUAAAUACUGAUUUACCUAAGCUGAUUGCGUGUACUUGGCAUUUGCAUCCUUACAAUCUGCAGCACAAACAAAGCGCACUGGGAACGUAACACGGACACAAUUACAAGGCUGUGCAGAGGCAGCCCAGUUCAGUAUAGAUAACACUGAUCUGGGUCUAGUAUGCAAAUAAGUCUCGAUCCUGUUUCCUGCUUAACUACUCGUGCAUUUACACUGUAACUGCAUCUACCAGAGUUUUCAGCACUGGCACAACAAACCACAAAUACAUGGAGCAAGCCCAAGUCUGGUAUGACUCAAUAAGCUCUACCCAAACCAGAAGCGGUGGGAUAUCAUGCAUACUCUGGUUUCUCUGGAAGCGCCAGGUUUGAAGCAGCAGGUGAUACCAGGUACAGAUCAACACCAGCCGUGGCUGGUACGGUUUGGUUGCAGGUGCUAUCUGCUCCAGGGGGUGAGGAACGGGAUCACACGUACACGUAAUACAUGGGGUUUUCCCAUGAGGUCAGGUAUCCCCAUCUGUGUAGCCGCCUUAUCUUAAACAACAAAAAGCUUUGGCUGAAAAAGGAAAACCCCCAUAACUGGUAUGAAAAAGAGAACCAUGCAUUUUCACCACAGGACAAAAUACUAGCAAAACCCAGCAUUUCAGUUGUUGAGAUUUUAACUUUGCUAAUUAAAAAAAAAAGAUCCAACAUUCCUCAUUAAUAUAUUCUAGGCAGCUUAUUUCAUCAUCUCUGAACACAAGAUGGGAUGUGCUGCAUUGCAAAAAUGUAAGGUAUGAGCAAACACCCAUUGCUCUCAGAACCACCACCCGACUUACACAAUCACAUGCAAGCUCCAAAAUUUAGAAUUAAAGGCGUUGCAGGGAGUUCUGAUACUAAAUAGUAUGCAAAUGUGCUCUAGUCGUUUGGCUCCCCGAUUGUUAUCUUCCUUUCUAUAUGUUUUGUUCAAGAAGUCAUUAGUGAAGUUGUAUAUACACAAAGCUGAUCAAGAACCAAGUAACAGUGGAUUAUAUUUUAUGGCAGAGUAAAUGAUGACUUGUAACUACUCAAAUUCCAGGUUGUUAUACAACUGGAGUAUUAGGAAGAAAGGUCCUAGGAAGUUUCAGAAACUCAGCUGUCACUGACAGCUGGAACGACACAGACCUUUCCAAAUGUGCCACUAGUGUUUGUUCUGCCAAUUGUUGCGCAAAACCACACAGAAUUCUCAGAUAACCAACACCAAACCAGCACUAUCUGACAUGAGGGAAACUGAAAUUUGGAGGCACUAAUGGAAAUUCAGGAAGCUUUGUUAAGUCAGCAAUUCACAGGACAUUUGAAUCUCCUCAAUUUAGUUAUCACAUAAGGUUAGCAUUAUCUUUUAUUAAAACCACCAAACAUAGAAUUGCACCACCUUUACUACAACCAACUUGAAAAGUACACAUUCAAGGGGCUUUAACUGUAAAGCAAAAAGAAAAAAAAUUAAGCUAUCCCAGUCCUCUGAUGUCUCAGGAGGCCUUCCCCAAAGGUCUCAAACAGACAAAAAAAAAAAAUCAAAGACAGUUUUGGAGUAAUUAAAGCCAAUAAAGGAAUAGCAUAGCAGAUGAAUAAGGUAAGAAGCUAAGUUGUAAUAGAGCUUGGCAUUCUUCCAAGACUACUCUCAUGCUUACCCAACAGCUCAAAAUGCCUGGUGAUCUUCCCUUUCUCCUGUGUCUCCUCCCUCACGACUUCCAAUCAUCUCCCUUUUUGCUGCUGAGGCUGAAACCUCUUCAAUUGCAGCAAAACAAAAAUGCGUUUUUCUUCACCUCAACUCACGUUUUUGCAGUCUUCUCUUUUGUCCUAACCCAGAACAUUUGAAGGAGCAAGGGGAACUGCU